rnacentral:misc_RNA from 1 species
CAGGAAUCAAGAGUUGGCUAGAUAAGCACAAUCAAGAUUCUGUUGUUUAUGUUGCACUUGGAACUGAAGCAACACUGAAUCAACAAGAGCUGAAUGAGCUAGCUUUGGGGUUAGAAAAAUGCGGAUUACCAUUCGUUUGGGUAUUAAGAGAUCAGCCAAAACAUAAUCAACAAGAUUCGUGUAUUCAGCUGCCUGAUGGAUACGAAGACAGAGUCAAAAACAGAGGUGUAAUAUACAAAGGAUGGGUACCACAGACGAAGAUACUGAGUCAUUCGUCAGUAGGUGGAUUCUUGACUCAUUGUGGAUGGAAUUCGGUCAUAGAAGCGCUAUGUUUUGGGCGGGUUUUGGUUAUGUUCCCGGUGUUGAAUGAUCAAGGAUUGAAUACAAGGUUGUUGCAAGAGAAAGGAGUUGGUGUAGAGAUACCAAGAAAUGAAAAAGAUGGAUUUUUCACUAGUGAUUCAGUGGCUGAAGCUGUGAAGUUUGGUGUAGUGAGUGAAGAGGGUGAGUUGUUGAGAGCUAAUGCAAGACAAAUGAGUUGUUUGUUUGGAGAUAGGAAGAGAAAUGAACAACUUAUUGAUGAUUGUGUUGGUUAUUUCAUGGAAAAUAGGAUAAGCAAAUCUAAUAGCUCCAUCGGUUGACUAUCUAACUUUUUACCUGAGUUCGAUUCUCAUCUUCUAUUUCCCCAAAAAAGGAGUUAAGAAAGUAGUCGUUGCAAUCGAGUUUCUUACUUUUUUUACACCUUGUUUGGAUGAUUG